UUUUUGUUUGAGAAACUAUUUGGGUUUCUCUUUGAUGGAGAUGCUCUUUGACUAUAUAUUUUCGGUUAAAUUUUGCCAAUUUUUUUUUAAUUUUUUAAUAUGCU
rnacentral:sRNA from 1 species